AUCAGCCCAUGUGGUGGUGGUCAUGGACCAUAAGACAGGAAAGAAGCCAUUGCAUGGUCCUUGUUGGGAUAUACCGACUGACCUCCGUACGCCGACUUAUCCUCAAAUCGAUCCGACCGACGCCCGACUCUAUCCACCGGACAGACAGAUGACUCCGACAAUGACUGCCGACAAUAUCCGACCGAAGGUAUGCCGACCAAAC
rnacentral:lncRNA from 1 species